UACGGGGGAUGCAAGCGUUAUCCGGAAUGAUUGGGCGUAAAGCGUCCGCAGGUGGCUGUGUAAGUCUGCUGUCAAAGAGCGAAGCUCAACUUCGUAAAGGCAGUGGAAACUACACGGCUAGAGUGCGUUCGGGGCAGAGGGAAUUCCUGGUGUAGCGGUGAAAUGCGUAGAGAUCAGGAAGAACACCGGUGGCGAAGGCGCUCUGCUAGGCCGCAACUGACACUGAGGGACGAAAGCUAGGGGAGCGAAUGGG
rnacentral:rRNA from 1 species